ACCUGAGGCUCCUCUGGAAUGAGCCUCUGUCCCAAGCUGAGCCAGAAAGGAAAAAGAAAGCAGGCAGGAAAGCACAGGCUUGGGGAAGGAGGCCUGGAGAGGGAUAGAAACUGCUCAGACCUCGGAUCCCUUUUGAAGAGCCCCCGAGACAGAAGCCCCGCCCCUUCGCGGACUGUGGGCCAAUGUACUUGUCAGACGUUCAGUAAGAGGAUAGCUGGGUGGGGCGUGCUAGUUUUCUGAGCAGGGAGCAGGAGAGGAGAGAUGGUUUUCUGAAUUGGAAGGAGCUGGGAAAGCAGAACUGUCACAAACGGUGGCACUAAAUUAGGUUUGAAGCUUUCCUCCUGAUUUCUGUUUCAUGGUCCAGUUCAUGUCCCAGCCUUUCCAUGAAGCUCUUAAAGGAGAUCAUAGCUUAACUUUCCUACGCAGGCAAGAUGUCUCGACAUCUUGCACAGGGAUAUUCACACAAGAGGCUGCGAGAUGUCCACCAAGAGGACAGGAUCAGGUCUCUGACCGGGAGGUCAGCGUCUCUUCUCCUGGUUUAUGGGUAAGUGUUGGUCAGUUCUGUUCUGGGCUUGCUGAUAGACAGAUUUUGCCAAGAUAGCCUCCCCAACUUUGGGCAGGCGGGCGAAGGAAAGACUGAAUGUUUCUGGGAGCAGAAUGAAUUUUCAGUGAGAAAACUUUGUAGCUGACAGAAUUUUUGAAAUGCUUAUAUCUUUUCAAAAUUAUUUGUUUAUUUAUGGCUGCAUGGGGGUCUUUCUUGCUGUUUGCAGACUUUCUCUAGUUGCGGUGCGUGGGCUUCUCAUGGUAGUGAUUUCUUCUGUUGUGAAGCACAGGCUCUAGGGCACAGGAUCAGUAGUUGUGCAAGGGCUUAGCUGCUCUGCAGCACGUGGAAUCUUCCCAGACCAGGGAUCAAAUGCAUGUCCCCUGCAUUGGCAGGUGGAUUCUUAACCACUUGACUACCAGGGAAGUCUUCAAAAUGCUUAUAUCUGUGUGUCCUUCAGAUUUGGAGAGCUAGUCAGGUCUAGAGCACAAGGCCACUACUACCAAGGAGGGCAGAGCUGACUGCAGGCAGUGCCUCCUUUGGCCUUCACUGAGAGAGUGAGGCUUUCGGGGGUAUGUCUGAGUCUGACAUCCUUGGACUCCUGUCAGCUUUGUUCCAGGGUCCCAGGCAGCACGGGUGAAUCUAGACUCAGGGGAACAGGUAUCUAGAGCUUAGCAUUAGCUUGGGCCUAUUUCUAUGGGUUUCUGGCACUUGAGGGUCUCCCUAGGGUUUAUUGGGUCUUCCACUCCUGUUUGAAAAGUCAAGAGCCUUGCAGGAGUUGGAGUGGUCUUGCCUUGUGCUGGCACACGGUGAAGUUCUCAUUGAUGAGGGAUGUCUGGUGUCAGUUUGGGGAGACUGGGAAGAGAAGGCAAGCAUGAAUGAUCCAAGGGCUUUUAUUUUGCGUCUUUAAUGGUACCCUCUUUCCCUAGAGGUAUAUGCCUGAAAGGUGAGUUUUGAAAACUAGCUAUAUCUCUAGGACAUUCAGACAGAACCUGGUCUAUUACUCCAGGGUUCCACUGGCAGGAGGACUCUGCACUCCACUGAAGCUUGGACUCGGGCUGAGACUUACAGUCCACAGGGGACUGAGGGAGAGGGAGGGCGUAACUGGGGCAUCAUAGAUGCAGUAAGUUCCAAUGGCUGCUUUUCAGUCACUAGUAGAAACCUAUGAAAAUGGGAACAAGACUUAUGUGGUAUCCAACUCUAUGACUGUUCUGAUUUCUCCACUUUGGAGGUGUCUUGCCUAGUUCCCUGUGUAUUGCAAAUACUUGAACUUAUGAGGCCCAUGUGUUUUGACUGUGAUAGAGGUGCUGCAGGAAAGGGAAACAGUCAUUCUCAAGUCCCUGGGACCAACUGCCAAGUGAGAGUCCUUGGCUUUCUGAAGGAAAGAAUGCAACAAUGAGUCAAAGGAAAGCAAAAGCGAGUUUAAAGAGAUGCUACUCCAUAGGCAGAAUGCCCACUAUCUCAGAGAGUGAGAGGCAGCCCUGGGGCUUGGGGUUGUUGGUUUUUUUAUAGGCUGAGUAAUUUCAUACGCUGAUGAGUGGGAGGAAUAUUCCUGCUAUUUUUUUUUUUUUAGUUCAAACGUAUUUAUUGAAGUUGAAUAAAUGAAAUGGAAGAUGACAGACCUUUUAUUGGUAGUUCUUAAAAGAAAAAAGUUGAGUGAAGUGAGUUAUCCUUUAGUUUUUACUUAAAAAAUUUAAUUGGAGGAUAAUUGCUUUACAAUAUGUUGGUUUCUGUGGUAAAACAACACAA
rnacentral:lncRNA from 1 species